rnacentral:rRNA from 1 species
AGCGAACGCUGGCGGCAGGCCUAACACAUGCAAGUCGAACGAACCCUUCGGGGUUAGUGGCGGACGGGUGAGUAACACGUGGGAACGUGCCUUUAGGUUCGGAAUAACUCAGGGAAACUUGUGCUAAUACCGAAUGUGCCCUUCGGGGGAAAGAUUUAUCGCCUUUAGAGCGGCCCGCGUCUGAUUAGCUAGUUGGUGAGGUAAAGGCUAACCAAGGCUACGAUCAGUAGCUGGUCUGAGAGGAUGACCAGCCACAUUGGGACUGAGACACGGCCCAAACUCCUACGGGAGGCAGCAGUGGGGAAUCUUGCGCAAUGGGCGAAAGCCUGACGCAGCCAUGCCGCGUGGAUGAUGAAGGUCUUAGGAUUGUAAAAUCCUUUCACCGGUGAAGAUAAUGACUGUAGCCGGGGAAGAAGCCCCGGCUAACUUCGUGCCAGCCGCCGCGGUAAAAC